ACUGACCUUGCUGUCAAUUCCAACAAUACUUUAGUAGCUUCUGCUUCAAAUGAUUGCAUCGUCAGAGUUUGGCGCUUGCCUGAUGGGCUGCCGAUUUCUGUGUUGCGUGGUCAUUCUGGAGCUGUUACCGCAAUAGCAUUUAGUCCACGACCCAGUUCUAUUUAUCAGCUCUUAUCGUCAUCUGAUGAUGGAACAUGCCGGAUUUGGGA
rnacentral:misc_RNA from 1 species